rnacentral:lncRNA from 1 species
AAAAUCAAGCUGUCCUGGCCAACCUGUCACUUAGUGGGACGCACUGGACACUGGAAGCCUGUGGAAUGUUCUUAUUCCAGUGAAUCACAAGGGCAGCCAAGCCUGGCUCUGCUUCGCUUUGUGGGAAGUGAAUGAACUUAUGUCACACAGUUGCUCUCUUGUGUUCUCAUCACUCAAAUAACUCACUGCAGAGGUGAGGUUCAUGACGCCUUCGCCACUCGGCUUGGGUGUAUGAUCAAGUUAUACCAAGAAAGUGACCCACUUCAGCCUGUCCAGCGGAGCGGUCUCUGAAGAGCUGCAUGUUUUUCCCCUCUCUGGGUAUGUAUGUGUUUAACCAAACACGAGUUAAAUACGCAUAAUCCCCUGCCUUGAGGUGAGAGUGCAUUUCAUCCUUUUUCCUGCCUUAAAAUCUCUAGUGGUGUCAGCCAGGGCUGUGGCUGCAACACGUUUGCUUCCCAGUGAUCCUGGGUGCAUCGGU